GAUUGAACGCUGGCGGCAGGCUUAACACAUGCAAGUCGAGCGGAGUGAUGGUGCUUGCACUAUCACUUAGCGGCGGACGGGUGAGUAAUGCUUAGGAAUCUGCCUAUUAGUGGGGGACAACAUUUCGAAAGGAAUGCUAAUACCGCAUACGUCCUACGGGAGAAAGCAGGGGAUCUUCGGACCUUGCGCUAAUAGAUGAGCCUAAGUCGGAUUAGCUAGUUGGUGGGGUAAAGGCCUACCAAGGCGACGAUCUGUAGCGGGUCUGAGAGGAUGAUCCGCCACACUGGGACUGAGACACGGCCCAGACUCCUACGGGAGGCAGCAGUGGGGAAUAUUGGACAAUGGGCGCAAGCCUGAUCCAGCCAUGCCGCGUGUGUGAAGAAGGCCUUAUGGUUGUAAAGCACUUUAAGCGAGGAGGAGGCUACUGAAGUUAAUACCUUCAGAUAGAAACGUACUCGCAGAAUAAGC
rnacentral:rRNA from 1 species